UACAAAUUAAAUCAUGUGGCAUGUCAGAUGGAGAUUACCAUGAACAAAAGAACACUGGAUAGGGAGUUCCUGAGUUAUUACGGUGGCACUUUUACUUAGCACAGUCAGGAAAGAGCUCCUGUAAAUGGUGACAAUUGAGGAAACACCUGGAGGAGGUAAAGAAGUCAGCCCAUGGAUAUCUGGGUCAGAAGCACUCCAGGCAGAGGGAUGAGCAAACACAGACACCCUGAGAAAGGAAUGCAGCUGGCAUGGUGGAGGAGUAGCCCAAAGGCCAAUAACUGCCUGAUACCCACAAGGGACUAACGACUGAGUGAAUGAAGGGAAGAAUGAAUAAGUAAUCAACAGACAGGAUCUACCUCAACUGCUUUACUUGUACCCACUCAAUCAUCACAGCAAUACCAUAAGAUAUUCAAAACCUGCAAGAUGUUUUCAAGAAUCAGAAAAUAGAGAGGUUAAGAAGAUAGACUUGUUGUCCAUAAGGAUCACACUCCAGUGCAGAUAAGAGCAUUUAAGGUAAUCACCCUGUUCUUAGAGAUAGGAAGGGUUUUGAAAUCUUAAAGAAAGUGAUUCCCACUUCUUCCUAAGGGGGGUGGAAUGUUUUCAUAGAGUAGGCACCCAAUGAAUUGUAGUUGAAAGAAAAAUUAGAAAUUCUUCAAGUAAAGAAAAUAGAAAUGUGGUUCUAGGAAGAAAGCAAAAAGGGAUUGUGAUGGCAUAAAAAAAAAUUCAGGGAAACAUGAGAUCUAGGAGGAUCGGUAACACUGCCUAAGGAGUAGGAAACAGGGUGUGGGGAUUCAAUUGUAUAUCAAGGCCAGACUGGCAACUCUCAUGGUUUUGGGAUAAAGUGUUAUAAUAAAUAUCAAUGGGGCAAUAUUAAAAUUUUUAAAAUGUAGAACUGUAAAAAAAUCUGGAAUAAUUUAAUUAUUUUAAAUUAAAUUAAUAAUUUUGAUUAAUUAUUUUAAAUUAAUGAAAUAAUAUGCAUUUGUUUUGGACAAGGGAAAAGAGCGUUUUGGAAACUUUUAUAAUAUUCAUAGUUAGAAUUGCUGGAAGGCAACAUCUAUGAGGAAGAUAGAAAGGAAGCAGAUUUUAAGGGAUUUAAGGCAGAAGGUCAAACAAAUUUGGCAGCACUGAGGAUGUGAAUCUUGAGGGAGGAAAAAAUCCAAAGAGAUACUGGUAUGUCUAUUUUGGAAGACAGAUUUUUUUAUGCCAGACAUGUAUAUAGGGACUGCAAGUUUAGAAAUAACCCAGUGGUAUAAUAUUCCGAAUCUGAAAAUGUUACUUUUGAUUUGUGAUGAGUUGACCUACAAAUUUUUCAUUUGUUAACAAUUUAUUAAUGGUUUCCUAGGUGAAUAUGUUCGUGCAAGGGCUUAUACUUAGGGUAAUGAUGUCAGUUUGGUUAGGACAGUCUUUGUUUUUGACUUAUCGUACUGGAAUAAUUAUUACUAUCACCCCCUUUUCUUUACAAAUGUUUCCUGCUUUGGAUCAUAAAUUAUAUGGUGACUUAAGUUAUAAGGAAAUUCAAAGCUAAAAAGUUGAGAGGUCUCUACCUCUUAGGAAUUUAUAAUACAGCGUAAGAGGUAGACAUCUUUGAAUAAAAUAUUUUCUAAAAAUUGCUAUUAGAAUAAAAUAAAAUGUGUGAAGAUUCUAAAGUCUGGAGUAACUUAAUUUUUAUCCCGGCUGCACGGACACUGCUACCUUGAUGCUGAACCAGCAGAUAACAUGUUUUCACAAGGGCUUCUCAUUAAAUGUCGUUCCAGGAGCAUGGCCUCAAGUAAGGGCUAGCAUGAUGUCCUAGACAUUCUGAAAAUCCUCCCAAAAACAGUGUGAGGUAGAUAUAAUUAUCUCCACUUAGAGAGCUGGAACCCAAGAAGCUGAGUGAUAAACUGACUUGUCACGUGGAGGCAGAUUUGAAUGCCUGAAGGCUGAUGUCAAAGAUUCUUACCUUCCACUUUUCUUCUACUUCAGAGGACUACAGCCUUGUCUGGAGAAACUGCGUGGAGACAUGCAUGAAUGCAGGUCUCUCAAACGAGGGUCCACAUGGUAUGUCAGCGCAGGAGAAGGAAAGAAGGAAAUCACCUUCUCAUCAGGAAGGGUGAUUGCUCUUGAGCAAACACGAGUGAAACCCACUUAAAGUUGAUUCAGCUAAGCUGACAUAAUAUUCAAAGUGAUCCAGGAGGAUGUUAUAAUCAACAGUGUCAAAAGUAGCUUUAAGAUCAAGCAAAAUUAAAAUACUCAAACUGUCAGAUGACAACUGCAUUAAUAAAUCAUUAAAAAGAAAAUCUCAGGCAAAUGCUGCUCUGCUGUGAAGUGAUAAAAAGCUGGAUUCAAAUUGCUCAGGGAGAUUAUGUCUCUUCCUUAAAUAGAUCUUGUUAUGGCUGGCUGUGAAUGUUCUGGUCCAAAGAGGCACAUUCAGUACCUGAUCCAAUGGCUACACAUAGCACAGUAGUUUAUUUCUCAAGAUUUAAUUGUACUCUUGAAAGAGAAAGAAGGGAAAUUCAUUCACUGAACAACCGUUUAUUAGUUUUUGACUCAGAUGAGCACGAUGACAGGUGCUGUGUGUACAGAAAUUGCUAAGAUACAACCCCUGGCUUCAAGAUACUUAUGGACAAGGAGACUCAAUGUUUUCCUUAAACUUAUUAAAUAAUAUAAUACUUAAUGUCAAAAGAGUAGAGAUAUUUGAGAAAAGCCGGAAGGAUUAGGUAUUGCCUCUGUCCUUAAGAGUCUUGCACUCCCUUUGAGAAACAAAAGGAAGUGACAGCUGCCAAUUUCUUAAAAUAUGCUUCGUGGGAUUUUACUCAAUGAAAUAACCAUAGCAUUUAUCAUCCAAACUGGACUUUUACAAAAGAUAAGGACUAUUAUUAAUGAUUAUAUUAGGACAACAGAUGUAAACUAGCACACAAUAAAUCAACAUGCAUGAUGACCCGUGAAUCUCAGAACUCAAUAUGAGAGACUAUCACUUCCUAAGAAUCUGGGAUGGGUUUAUUUGGACUUGACAAGUAGUGCAAGUCCUACAUCCCAUACUCAAAUUAUCCAGGUCAUCUUUGUAAGUGCAAGACCAAUCAUGGUUGUCACUUAUCAUUUGGAAAACCAUGGAGUAGAUAUGGUGUACCAACAGAGGAAACAAAUUUACCCAUACGGAUAAUAAUUCACACAAUGUCCAAAUUAUUUCAAUCUUACAUGAAGUUUCUCAUCUUAAAACACCGUGUUUCUUACUUGAUGUGGUCACUGUUGUGGUUUUUUUUUUUUUUUUUGUGAGACAGAGUCUUGCUCUUGUUCAAGCUGGAGUGCAGUGGCAAUCUCAACUCACUGCAACCUCUGCCUCCUGAGUUCAAGCAAUUCUCCUGCCUCAGCCUACUGAGUAGCUGGGAUUACAGGCAUCCGCCACCAUGCCUGGCUAAUUUUUGUAGUUUUAGUAGAGACGGGGUUUCACCAUGUUGGCGAGGCUGGUCUCGAACUCCUGACCUCAAGUGAUCCUCCGGCCUGGGCCUCCCAAAGUGCUGGGGUUACAGACCUGAGCCGCUGCGCCCGGCCUGUUGUGACUUUAAUGUUGCUCUAAAAUCCUUUGACAAUAAGUACUUGAGGAGCUUCAUAUUUUCCUGGACUAGAUUUAUAGAAUGAGAUUUCACCUUAAGACUAAACCUGAUGAGGCUAAUGAAAUGGGAGUUUUCAGGUUCCUGGUAGAAAGGAAGUUUAUUUUGCAUUUGGGAGGACUCAUCUGAUCCCAGAGGGAUGACUAGCUAUUUUAAAAUGUGGCCUCAAAAUUCCUUGACAAUCUUCCCUAACCUCAUGGUUUAUGGUUCUCCUCCCCUUGAAUCUGGGCUCUGUGACUGAUUUACCAACGGAAUACGGUAGAACCAAUAUCGUUCUAUUUUUUAAGCCCAGGCUUCUAGGAAUGCUCAGUCUAAGAAUCCAGCCUCCAUAUUGUGAGGAAUCCCAAACUAGCCUAUAUGAUAGAUAACAUGGAGAGGCCAAAAAUAGGGGUUCCAGCCAACAGCGCAGUGGACCGCUGUGCUGACAACCAGAAUCAACUGCCAAACAUGUGAGCGAGAAUAGCUUCAGAUAACUCAAGCUCACAGCUUUUGAGCUUUCUCAUAUUAAAUUCCAGAUAUCAUGGGGCAGAUAUAAGCCAUACUUGCUGUACCUUCUCUGAACUUGUGGCCCAUAGAAAGUAUGAGGCAUAAUACAAUUGUUGUUUAUAUCAAUACAUUUUGAGGUAGUGGGUUGUACAUAAAUAGAUAACCAAAAUACUAAUGUUAACCUAUUUUAAAAGUCACUUAUCUACCAGACAAAAAGGAAUUUCUCAUUUGGUUCUCAACCUGUAAAAAGGCUUUUGAUCACUUUUUUUAGCUUUGAAUCGGAUUCCAACUCUUUGUGUGAUGGAACAGCUCUGACCCUAAAGAUACAAACUGUUGAACCCAUAUCACUUUAUUUACCCCAUUAGCCAAUCAUGAAAAUUGCUUAUAUAGUAAAUAAUCAAUAAAUCUGUAUUAAAUAAAUUAAUAAAUGAUCAUGAGAUCUGGGCAACAAAUUUGUGAAAACUAUUAUAAAAAUAAAUGUUAAUAUUUUGUUAUAAA
rnacentral:lncRNA from 10 species